rnacentral:RNase_P_RNA from 2 species
GGCGGAUGCUCGUGGCCCCGCGGCGCUUUGAGACAGACUCACGGCCGGCAGCGCUGAGUCCAAUGGGUGAGGUGGGGCAGCGCCCCAUAACCCAAUUCAGACUACUCUCCCCCAGA